UCGAGACAGGGAGUCCGUGGCCCAAGCGUGACCGAUAAGCUGUUCCACGGACGGCGCCGGGUGCAGCCCCCGCCGUCCGCCAAAUGAUCAGCCAGCAGCCGCUGCAACCCCAGGGAG
rnacentral:sRNA from 1 species